GUCACAGCUUCAGGGAAAAUCUGCCCGGCGGGGUGGGAAGGAUGAAUUCUGGCUGGAGGUGAGCAGCCCACAAAUUUCUCACAUUCCUCUUUUCGGUUAUCAGCCCUCACUUUUCAACAGGUUCACAUAAUGUGCCAGCCUGACCGCACAGGGCUCCUGAACUAUAGCUCUCUGCUAUGGGAAUGUUACUAAAACAACGAAAACAAGUCGGAACCAAGUACCCAGUUAUAGCAGGCAUUGUGAGGCUAAUAAUACCAACUGUAACAAUAAUAACAAAUUUUAUGUAGCACUCAACAUUUCACAGAUGGCUUCCACAAGUGUUAUUUAAUUUCAUUGUCAUUAGCAAUCUUAAGUGGUAGGUGGGGCAAAUAUUUUUCCCCAUGCCUAGAUAAACAACCUGAGGUCCAGACAGGUUAAGACAUUUGCCCAAGUUCACAUGGUUAUUCAGGGCAUGAAAUGGAAACAUCAGCCUUCAGUUCCCUGAUCUUUCCACCAAAUUACAGACUUUGAUACAUUUAUCUCUCUGUAGAGACAAAAUAUCUCACUGUAAUUCCCCCUGAGUGGUACUAUUUCUGAUUCCUAGAGUUUAAUAGGGGAAAUACACACACACACAUACACACGCACACACAAAACAGUUUCAUAUUUGUUUUUGUUUUGCUUCUAGAAUAGAAUCUGAAGAGGCUAUUAUCUGGUUUGCAAGACAUAUCUUCUUGGAGCUAAAUAUCAGCAUUUCCUCCAAGCAGGAAGAUCUGAAGAGGUGAACAAACAGAUAUGAAGGAAAGGCCCUAAGACCUCCUCAUCCCAGGAGCCCUAAUAUCAACUUCCUAAAAUGAACUGAUCCUAUUUUAAACAAUCCAAAGGCUACUCAUCAGCCCUAUUCCUUUCAAAUCUUGGAGGGAGGGGAGUAAAUUGUUCUUUUUCUUUUUCUUUCUUUUUUUUUUUUUUUUUAGUGUUUAUCUUUUGUUGUUUUUAUUCUCAUCAUUGAGUAUUUGGUGACCACAUGUGCUUGGCUGAUUUUUAAAAUUGUGUUUAUAAUUCUUGAAAAAAACCUGUCCCCCAGGAGUGCGUCAUCUGCUACAGCAGGUGGAUUUUGUUGGUGUUUUUUUUUUUUGUUGUUUCUUUCUCGUUUUGCAUCAACUUUUAUCAGUCCAUGCAACUUCAAUGCCCUUGAUGAAGAAUGCAUAAUAAGCCAUACUUCUUUAAAAAAAAAAAAAGACUUCCUUCUGCAUAAAGAGAUAUAUUUGCCACAUCAGUCCCUGUAGCAGUUUUCAAAACCAUUCUGUCAAAAAUACAGUAAUACAAGACCGCUUUAGUGUCACUAGCUUACGCCACUCCUCGCAUUACGUUGGCCACCUUGUGUUAAUUGGUACUGUAGUCAUGCAACUGGAGCUCUCAGAGGGUGAGGCCAGCAUACAGGUAGGCUAGUGGCACUGAAGCACUUUUCACAAUCUCAACAUACAUUUGAAUUGCAACACACAGAUAUUUCUAAAGAGUAUUAACUAGUGAACCCUUUUAUUAUUUAAAAAAAAAAACUACUUACAACCAUUGAAGAAAAAAUUGCAACAAAAAAAUGUAAAAAUUGACCGUCUCCAACUUGUCCCCUUUACUAUUAACAAUGUAACCAACAGAUCUGUGGCACGG
rnacentral:lncRNA from 12 species